rnacentral:rRNA from 1 species
AUUGAACGCUGGCGGCAGGCCUAACACAUGCAAGUCGAGCGGAUGAAGGGAGCUUGUUCCUGGAUUCAGCUGCGGACGGGCGGGUAAGGCCUAGGUAUCUGCCUUGUAGUGGGGGAUAAGGUCAGGAAACGGGAGCUAAUACCGCAUACGUCCAGAUGGAGAAACUGGGGGAUCUUCGGACCUCACGCGAUUUGCUGACACUAGGUCGGAUUAGCUAGUUGGUGAGGUAAAGGCUUACCAAGGCGACGAUGCGUAACAGAGCUGAGAGGGUGAUCAGCCACACUGGAACUGAGACACGGUCCAGACUCCUACGGGAGGCAGCAGUAGGGAAUCUUCCGCAAUGGGCGAAAGCCUGACGCAGCCACGCCGCGUGAGUGAUGAAGGUCUUCGGAUCGUAAAGCUCUGUUAUUAGGGAAGAACAAAAGUGUAAGUAUCUAUUCACGUCUUGACGUUACCUACACAGAAAGCCACGGCUAACUACGUG